ACUCGCUACCAGCCCUGGUAUAGGUAUAUGGACUCAGUACAGACGAGUCUGCACAGUCAGUCAUUUAGAGGCCUCCGCCGAUUCCACCUCACAUCUUACGCCCGCUCGCAGCUCAGCGCCGAACAAGUGAAAAUUAAAUUUAUCGCCAAAUUAACCUGCCAGCGUGGAAAAAUACGAAAAAAGUUUACCCACCAGCCACUAAUUAGUUAUUACCGUGUAGGAGCACAAAAAUUUGCAAAUAUCAGCAAACUGUGGCUGCGAUGUUGCACUCUGAAGCGCACGUUUCCGCAAUCAACAUCGACUGAUGGCGUCUAGGCUAGUGGCUGUGGUAUUGUUUUGGAGGCAGUCAGUAGUACUCAGUACUGAGAUGCGGAAGACAACAAUUAAUUGUGGAUAAACAAGUUUUCUAGAGCUUACUCUACUGCAUCCUCCUCCUACACACAUGUUAAUUUGAAACAUAAAACCGGACCGUAAAUCACCACGUGACUGGUGACUUUCUAAGGCUUUCCAAGAGCAGGAGCAAAAAUUUUAGAGAGUAAGCUGAUGGGCAGGUCCGUGUCAGUAGGUAACUGACCUACAACAGUUGUUGGAUCGUACCAACAGUUCAAAAACAGAUUUUCAUCUAUUUUGAAAGUUAUCCCUAACAAUUGGCUUCCGGUUAGGACCAGCGGGUGGAAAUUACUGGGAUGAAAACCCGUGACCCAUUUAGGUUUUGGAAUUUACCGAAAUAGCGGGCUCUUGGUUGGCUGCAGCAUUGUUAUAUGUAUUUCAAAUAUCAUCCUCUGUAAAUAAUAGUUACAUAUGUGACAAGUAACAACAA